AAUGGAAAACGAAAAAUAAAUAAAUAAAUAAUAAUAAUAAAAAUAAUAAAGUAAAAUAAAUAAAUAAAAGAAAAAAUCUUGGACUUGGACCUCUCUCAUUUGAGCCCACAGGUCCACAAAAAUCAGGUUAUAAAUUCAGAGUUUCAGUGAAACAAAAGACAAUUUUAUUCCUAUUACCCUGUCUGGGAAAAAGAUAGUGAGAGAAGAACCUGGGGAAAAAGAUAGUGAGAGAAGGGCUAAC
rnacentral:lncRNA from 1 species